UGCGGAGGAUGCGAGCGUUAUCCGGAUUUAUUGGGUUUAAAGGGUGCGUAGGCGGGAUGCCAAGUCAGCGGUAAAAAUGCGGUGCUCAACGCCGUCGAGCCGUCGAAACUGGCGUUCUUGAGUGGGCGAGAAGUAUGCGGAAUGCGUGGUGUAGCGGUGAAAUGCAUAGAUAUCACGCAGAACUCCGAUUGCGAAGGCAGCAUACCGGCGCCCUACUGACGCUGAGGCACGGAAGCGUGGGUAUCGAACAGG
rnacentral:rRNA from 1 species